CGGAAUUCCAUCCCCCUCUGCCGUACUCCAGCCUUGCAGUCACAAAGGCAGUUCCCAGGUUGAGCCCGGGGAUUUCACCUCUGUCUUACAAAACCGCCUGCGCACGCUUUACGCCCAGUAAUUCCGAUUAACGCUCGCACCCUACGUAUUACCGCGGCUGCUGGCACGUAGUUAGCCGGUGCUUAUUCUUCAGGUACCGUCAUCCCCACGAGGUAUUAACCCACAGGAUUUCUUCCCUGACAAAAGCAGUUUACAACCCGAAGGCCUUCUUCCUGCACGCGGCAUUGCUGGAUCAGGGUUGCC
rnacentral:rRNA from 1 species